CGUGGCGGGCGGGGAGGGCUCCGGCGUUUCUAACCCUAAAUGGCUCGCGCCGCACUCCCCGCGCUCGUCCGCUGUUUUACUCGCUGACUUUCAGCGGACGAGGGGAGUGGCCCCCCGUGGCGGGGGGGCAGGGAGAGGGGGCGACGGGGGGGGGAGCAGGGCAGGGAGAGGGGGCCGGCAACCAAAAAACGUCAGCGAGGGGUCUCUCCGCCGCCGCG
rnacentral:sRNA from 1 species